CCUACGGGGGGCAGCAGUGAGGAAUAUUGGUCAAUGGACGAGAGUCUGAACCAGCCAAGUAGCGUGAAGGAUGACUGCCCUAUGGGUUGUAAACUUCUUUUAUAUGGGAAUAAAAUGUUCCACGUGUGGGAUUUUGUAUGUACCAUAUGAAUAAGGAUCGGCUAACUCCGUGCCAGCAGCCGCGGUAAUACGGAGGAUCCGAGCGUUAUCCGGAUUUAUUGGGUUUAAAGGGAGCGUAGGUGGAUUGUUAAGUCAGUUGUGAAAGUUUACGGCUCAACCGUAAAAUUGCAGUUGAAACUGGCAGUCUUGAGUACAGUAGAGGUGGGCGGAAUUCGUGGUGUAGCGGUGAAAUGCUUAGAUAUCACGAAGAACUCCGAUUGCGAAGGCAGUUCACUGGACUGCAACUGACACUGAGGCUCGAAAGUGUGGGUAUCAAACAGGAUUACAUACCCCAGUAGUC
rnacentral:rRNA from 1 species